UACGUAGGGUGCAAGCGUUAAUCGGAAUUACUGGGCGUAAAGCGUGCGCAGGCGGUUUUGUAAGUCUGAUGAUGAAAUCCCCGGGCUCAACCUGGGAAUUGCAUUGGAGACUGCAAGGCUAGAAUCUGGCAGAGGGGGGUAGAAUUCCACGUGUAGCAGUGAAAUGCGUAGAUAUGUGGAGGAACACCGAUGGCGAAGGCAGCCCCCUGGGUCAAGAUUGACGCUCAUGCACGAAAGGCGUGGGGAGCAAACGAGGAUUAG
rnacentral:rRNA from 1 species